GCGUUAAUCGGAAUUACUGGGCGUAAAGCGAGCGUAGGUGGCUUGAUAAGUCAGAUGUGAAANCCCCGGGCUUAACCUGGGAACNGCAUCUGAUACUGUNAGNCUAGAGUAGGUGAGAGGAAGGUAGAAUUCCAGGUGUAGCGGUGAAAUGCGUAGAGAUCUGGAGGAAUACCGAUGGCGAAGGCAGCCUUCUGGCAUCAUACUGACACUGAGGNUCGAAAGCGUGGGUAGCAAACAGGAUUAGAUACCCUGGUAGUCCACGCCGUAAACGAUGUCUACUAGUCGUUGGGUCCCUUGAGGACUUAGUGACGCAGCUAACGCAAUAAGUAGACCGCCUGGGGAGUACGGCCGCAAGGUUAAAACUCAAAGG
rnacentral:rRNA from 1 species